rnacentral:sRNA from 1 species
UCUAAUUGUUCAAAUUGAUUCGAUAAAGAUUCAUAACGGGACAUAUGUGUUUUAUAUGUAUCACUAUCGUAAUCAUUUGCAUGUUUUGAUAACCAAUCUGUUUCUUCUUUGAUUAAGCUUUCCAUUCGUUUAAUAUGUUCAAAUGGUUUUGACAUUUCUUCAAAAACUGUUGCAUUAGAAUUUAAAGUCAU